rnacentral:rRNA from 1 species
AAUUCCAGCUCCAAUAGUGUAUAUUAGAGUUGUUGCAGUUAAAAAGCUCGUAGUUGGAUUUCUGUCGUGGUCAUCCGGCCUUGCCCGUAGGGUGUGCGCCUGGGUUGCCUGCGGCUUUCUUCCGGUAGCCUUCCGCGCUUCGCUGCGUGCGUUGGUGUUCCGGAACUUUUACUUUGAGAAAAAUAGAGUGUUUCAAGCAGGCUUGUCGCCCUGAAUACUGCAGCAUGGAAUAAUAAGAUAGGACCUUGGUUCUAUUUUGUUGGUUUCUAGGACCGAGGUAAUGAUUAAUAGGGACAGUUGGGGGCAUUCGUAUUUAACUGUCAGAGGUGAAAUUCUUAGAUUUGUUAAAGACGAACUACUGCGAAAGCAUUUGCCAAGGAUGUUUUCAUUAAUCAAGAACGACAGUAGGGGGUUUGAAGACGAUUAGAUACCGUCGUAAUCUCUACCAUAAACUAUGCCGACUAGAGAUAGGGAAACGCCUACCUUGGCUUCUCCUG